UGUGUAUUCAGAAUGUGUCUAAUUUUUUUUUAGUUUUCCACUGCCUCUUGGCUGAAGUUUCAUUCUUAUAUGUAGAAUGGCAGAUGUUUACAUGUGUUAAAUCAUUUGACAUACUUAUUGAACUCUCUCUUGUUUCAGAAUCAAUUAGAUGAAAAACACAUUAUUAAAUUGACUGUCAAAUGGCUAUCUGGAGGCUUAAAUGCUGGAAACCCAGAACACGCACAAUAUCUAUCCUCGGUGAAAGAAAAACUAGAUAAAUAUCUGAAUAGCAUCGUCGAAUCUAUAAUACAAGAAGAUCAGGCGAAGAGUGUAUUUACAUCGCAGUUUGGAAUCGACAAAUCCUUGUUCAAUGAACUCAUGAUCCAGACAUAUUACAGUCAACAAAUGGCCAAAUGUAGUUUUGAUAGAGAGGACAUCCUAUCAAAAAUUCAAAGUUACCUUACAUCCAA
rnacentral:lncRNA from 1 species